ensembl:snRNA U1 U1 spliceosomal RNA
AUAAUUGCCUCGCAAAGGAGUGAAAAUGACUAAGUAGGUGUUAGGUAUUUUUCCCAGGGUGAGGCUUAUCCAUUAUACCUUGGAUGUGCUAAUUUCUUCUAUUUUCCCAACUGUGGGAAACUCAACUGCAUAGUAUUUGGUAAGUGGGGGAGUGCAUUUGUGCUCUCCUCUA